AGAGUUUGAUCAUGGCUCAGGAUGAACGCUAGCGGCAGGCUUAAUACAUGCAAGUCGAGGGGUAACAUGGGUAGCAAUACCUGAUGACGACCGGCAAACGGGUGCGGAACACGUACGCAACCUUCCCAUAACUGGUGAAUAGCCCUCCGAAAGGAGGAUUAAUACACCGUAACAUAAUGAAGUGGCAUCACUUUAUUAUUAUAGUAGCAAUACGGUUUUGGAUGGGCGUGCGCCUGAUUAGGUAGUUGGCGGGGUAACGGCCCACCAAGCCUACGAUCAGUAACUGGUGUGAGAGCACGACCAGUCGCACGGGCACUGAGACACGGGCCCGACUCCUACGGGAGGCAGCAGUAAGGAAUAUUGGUCAAUGGACGAAAGUCUGAACCAGCCAUGCCGCGUGAAGGAUGAAGGCCCUCUGGGUUGUAAACUUCUUUUAUAGGGGACGAAAAAAGCUCAUUCUUGAGCACUUGACGGUACCCUAGGAAUAAGCACCGGCUAACUCCGUGCCAGCAGCCGCGGUAAUACGGAGGGUGCAAGCGUUAUCCGGAUUUACUGGGUUUAAAGGGUGCGUAGGUGGGCAGUUAAGUCAGCGGUGAAAUCUCUGGGCUUAACCCAGAAACUGCCAUUGAUACUAUCUGUCUUGAAUAUCCUGGAGGUGAGCGGAAUAUGUCAUGUAGCGGUGAAAUGCUUAGAUAUGACAUAGAACACCAAUUGCGAAGGCAGCUCACUACGGGGUUAUUGACACUGAGGCACGAAAGCGUGGGGAUCAAACAGGAUUAGAUACCCUAGUAGUCC
rnacentral:rRNA from 1 species